UAGGGAAUCUUCCACGAUGGGCGAAAGCCUGAUGGAGCAACGCCGCGUGUGUGAUGAAGGGUUUCGGCUCGUAAAACACUGUUGUAAGAGAAGAAUGACAUUGAGAGUAACUGUUCAAUGUGUGACGGUAUCUUACCAGAAAGGAACGGCUAAAUACGUGCCAC
rnacentral:rRNA from 1 species